UGUUAUUACAUACCUGUGGUUGAUGUCAGCAGGUUGAGGCUGGGACAGUGCCAUCAGAAGCUGUGUUUCCUUGAUAAAGCACCCACCUGACUAUGAGCAUCGCUUGGACACCAGGAGGGAAAGGUCCCGGAAGGGGAUACUGCAGUGCCCAGCAUCAGAGGAACCAGGGCUUUUCUCUUCAACAGAAGUCAGCAAAAGAAAUUUCCUCUACUUCCAACACAAAGGCAUGGCUCAUCUGUGUACUGGCCACUGAUGAGGUGGGACACUGAAGAACCUUAAGCAACUAAGCUUUGUCCAUGAUACUUCUGCUGCUGCUGCCCUGUGGGGUGCCAUUUGUGCCCAGCGCUGAGAACUGGCUGUGAGCAGUUGUUUGGGAGGGCUGCCAGAGGAACUCACUGGAGUGGGAAUGAAGGGCUGGGAGUCAAGCUGAAGUCCCUUUAGGGGCUCAUUUCUACUCAUCAGGCCUCUGAGCACCGCCACUGGUUCCCCUUUCCCAUAAGCAGCCGAAAGGCAGGAACGCGGGAGGCAAAUUGCAGCACUUGCAGCAAGCACUUCGCGACAUGCCCUGCGCAUCCAAACACAAUACAAUUUUGCAUCUGAGUACCAAAAGCUAAACAGCAGUGAGCUCACGGCAAGUUGGGAUUGGCCAGGAACUGGGUCAGGAUGAAGUGGGAUGAAGCAAACAAAACCUGAAGUCCUUGAGCGAGGCCCCCUGCCAAGCCCAUGCCGAUGCUCUCGCACUCUUUCCUGCUGAAGCACCCUCCAAGCCAGGUUCCCGGCAGCCACAGCCCUGUGGCAGGGCCAGCCUCUGCGAGCUGGAUACGUCUGCAACCCCAGCUUGAUGCCUAAAUGUGUCCAUUUCAAGAUCCUGCUUUGAAACGUACUGAGAAAACUCCAAAUACUACAGUCAACAGGAAGAACUUAUGAAAUGCAAAAGUAGCAGAAAACUGAGGCAGAGCACACGCUAAGCGUUGGGGAAGUACUGGCUGCAAACCACUGCAGGUAGUCCCACAAACGCACAACUUGGGAUUUCUUCGUUUUCUUAGAGGCUACAGGUAUCAGCCAUGACAUAGGGAAAAUACUGCAUUGGAUUGACUUAGGAUCCCAUCAGGUCUGGCAGUCUGUUUUUUCUUAAGGGGGAAAAAAAUGAACACUCACACACACUGCUACAACAACGUGAAGUAUUUUCCUCUUCAAGGGCCUUUCCUCGCUAUCCAAUGUCUUCCUUUAAAGAAUGGUGCAGAAGUCAAGCAGAGCUGUGCAUCAUCCAGAAAGCACGCAGCACUCAGCCACAGCGCUCAAGGAUUCCUAGAAGCCAGUGCUGCAUGGGGAGAGCUAAACCAGGGGAUGUUUUAAGUGGGAUGCAGCAAGCAGCAAGCGUGCAGCUGGUCCUCCCAUUCGGGGAAGUGGGGCUUGGAAACAACACUGGGGGUUUGCAAUCUGGCAACGCGUGCGUCUUCCACUUGGAGCAAGAAAUGUCAAGGAGAAUUAGUGAGAUGACUGGAGACUUAGACUGCAAUAGGAAGCAACUGCUGUUCAUAAGCAGGCUGUGACUGCUCAGCCUUGCUAAUCAGAUUUCGGAAGAUGCUCAGCUGGCUCAUGCUGUAGGGUGCUCAUUGCAUGUUUUGCUAACAAUGCUGUGCUGAGGGGGGUGUCCAUAUUUCAGGGAAUAUGGGGGAGCCUGAUUUAAUGCCCAUAAGUGCUGGUUUUCUCAGCGGAGGGGGAAAAGGCCAUUUGGAAACCUGUAUAUGUGGGGCAUGGCUCUGAUACCCGCUCUGUAAGUCAUUUAGAGCAAGCAAGGCGGGACCAGAUGCUCCUCUGAGCACCAGCUGUGAGCACCGAGCUUACCAAAACCCAGCCUUAUCCAAACAGAUCUGCUGGCUGGGGGUGACCCGACAACCUGCCCAAUUUCCUGGGCGGCUGGAACCUGUCCCCAUGCCCAGCGCACGGUGGCUUGGUCAUGCUGGGCCUCGGCAUGUCAGCGCCAGGAGGAAAAGCAGCCACAUCCAGCUCCGGCAUGCCAGCUUCAUUGCUGCUCGGCUGGUGCAGCCUGCUUCAGCCCCUCUCCCACUGAAGCACACUUUUGAGCCGAGGCACUAGAGAGUAUGGAUCAAUGUUUGAGCCAAGGGAAAUGGGGAUCCUUUGCACUGGAUCAAGGUUUUAAUUAGUACAGGAUUUUGUGAUUUUGCAUGAUUUGCUUGAUACCAGUUCCCGCGAAGAACGAAAGUUUACUUCCAUUUCCCAGUGCUCUAUAAAAGCAGCUUCCGUUAGCGCAGCCUGUGCUCUCAACUGUGCUGUAUAUGGCGUUUCUAUUUUUAGAAACCAGGGUUGCCAUGACAACCCAGUGUAUUUUUUGUUAAAUAUAGCAGCUGUUGCAGAGAACUCUUGUCCUUCUGGAUGUAAAGGCUGUGUUUUUGCCCUCUGACAGAGCUUAGGGUAUUAAAUGCAGAUGAGAAAGGAUGAUUAAAUAAGUGGAAGCCCAGAAGAAACCAUGGAUCUGUAAUUACACAGAGAGGUUUUGAAUGAAGCUCUGUGUGUCUGCUGCUUCAGAAGCAGCCCUUCUGCAUUAGAAAUGAUGUAGGGACAGGGAUG